GGUUUCCGUAGGUGACCUGCGGAAGGAUCAUUG
rnacentral:rRNA from 1 species